rnacentral:misc_RNA from 1 species
GAGUUGUGGCACUCUGAUAAAUGGGUUUUGUGAGAAUGAGGAUUUGGAUGGAGCUUAUGAGCUAUUCAGAAGAAUGAGAAGGCAAUAUAAGUAUUUUCAUACUACUGCAACAUACAAUAUAAUGAUCAGUGCAUUUUCUAAAAAGCUGAAAAUGGACAUGGCAGAGAAGCUUUUUCUUGAGAUGAAUGAAUGUGGCUGUCCUCCUGACAGCUACACAUACCGUUGUAUGAUAGAUGGUUUCU